AUGGAGGUGAUGACAAUUUCCCCAAAUGAUCGAAUCUGAUUAUGCUAAGCGAUUAUUAUUUUCUCUCUUCGGAGGAAAUCAAGCCAAUGUUCUGAUCCAU
rfam:Brassica napus, WGS project CCCW01000000 data, contig: 354